GACGAACGCUGGCGGCGUGCUUAACACAUGCAAGUCGAGCGGUAAGGCCCUUCGGGUACGACGAGCGGCGAACGGGUGAGUAACACGUGGGUGACCUGCCUCUAGCUCUGGGAUAAGCCUGGGAAACUGGGUCUAAUACCGGAUAUGACUCCACGGCGCAUGUUGUGGGGUGGAAAGCCUUGUGUGGCUAGAGAUGGGCCCGCGGCCUAUCAGCUUGUUGGUGGGGUGAUGGCCUACCAAGGCGACGACGGGUAGCCGGCCUGAGAGGCGACCGGCCACACUGGGACUGAGACACGGCCCAGACUCCUACGGGAGGCAGCAGUGGGGAAUCUUGCGCAAUGGG
rnacentral:rRNA from 1 species